rnacentral:snoRNA from 1 species
GUGCUCUGAAUGAUGAAAGAAUUUCGGAUGUUAAAUCAUAUGAUCUCCGAGAGCGCAAAACCAUGUGGAUAUUUUCCGUUGCCUUCCUUCUGACUUGAUAAGCU